AGGGCACCACCAGGAGUGGAGCCUGCGGCUUAAUUUGACUCAACACGGGGAAACUUACCCGGCCUGGACACUGGAAGGAUUGACAGAUUGAGAGCUCUUUCUUGAUUCAGUGGGUGGUGGUGCAUGGCCGUUCUUAGUUGGUGGAGCGAUUUGUCUGGUUAAUUCCGAUAACGAACGAGACUCUAGCCUAUUAAAUAGGCUCCCGGCUUUUAAACGCCGGGAGGACUUCUUAGAGGGACAGGUGGCGGUUCAGCCGCACGAAAGAGAGCAAUAACAGGUCUGUGAUGCCCUUUGUUGUCCGGGGCCGCACGCGCGCUACACUGAAGAGAUCAGCGUGCUUUAUGUUCCUGCUCCGACCGGAGUGGGGAACCCAGUGAACCUUCUUCGUGAUUGGGAUAGAAGAUUGUAAUUAUUCUUCUUGAACGAGGAAUUCCCAGUAAAUGCGAGUCAUAAGCUCGCGUUGAUUACGUCCCUGCCCUUUGUACACACCGCCCGUCGCUGCUACCGAUUGAACGAUUU
rnacentral:rRNA from 1 species